rnacentral:tRNA from 1 species
GCGCGAGUGGCGUAAUCAGGCAGCCGCGCCGGAUUUAGGUUCCGGUGCCUUCGGGCGUGCGGGUUCGAAUCCCGCCUCGCGCACC